ACCGGGCGCGGUGGCGCGCGCCUGUAGUCCCAGCUACUCAGGAGGCUCAGGCAGGAGGAUCGCUUGAGCCCAGGAGUUCUGGGCUGUAGUGCGCUAUGCCGAUCGGGUGUCCGCACUAAGUUCGGCAUCAAUAUGGUGACCUCCCGGGAGCGGGGGACCACCAGGUUGCCUAAGGAGGGGUGAACCGGCCCAGGUCGGAAACGGAGCAGGUCAAACUGAGACUGGAAACCAGAAGGACAUUAAAAACAAAAGAUAAACACAUUUAACUAUGUAAACAUCCUUAU
rnacentral:SRP_RNA from 1 species